rnacentral:lncRNA from 1 species
AUGCCGGCGUUGCAGGCAGUGGCUUUACCUGCUACGCCACAGCGCUGGCCCCCCAGUCCAUUCUUGAAAACCCGGGUCCAGCACGCUGUUUUCCACACCCUCGUGGCUCAUGGUGUGACCCCCGCACACGCAGCUGGCGUCUGCCACUCUGCAGCCGCUCGGUCCCGGUUCAUCUCCGUGCUGCCGGGCGGUGGUGGAACUGGGUCCGGAGCGUGGGCCCCGGCUCUUGGGACACCGGCGCGGUCCGUAAGCCCGAGCUUGGGUCAGCAUCCAGCAAGGUCAUGGCGGGGAAGGGGCGGGGGAGAAGUGCGCGGCCUCGCGGCCGACGCUCGCUCUGGUCCCCAGUCACCCCCCACCCCGGGCCCUGACCUCAGCGACCUGCACAGCACGCCCCCCCUCCACGCCUCCAUGUCUCCUUCCUGGCUCGCUGUCAGGAGGAAAGGGCGAGAACGCGGCGAGACGCCCACUUCCUGGCAGGUCUGGGUGAGGAGUCAGGGGCCUGGGUUCGAGCCCCGUGUCCCCGCUGACUCAGCGCCACCUUCGGCCCCACUUCCCCCGCCGCACCUCAGUUCCUCAUGGUGGAGUCGGGUUAGGCCAGACCUCCCCACGGUGACCGGGGCUGUUGCAACCCGGACUGGCGAGCGCCCGCCUGCCCCGGGUCCCACGUGCUCCUGGACGUCUGCCCUCACGUGGAGGAAGCCACGGGGAGGCGGCCGAGGGUCUGUUCUUGAACCCCCCAGACCAAAGCGCCACGUUCCGGGUCCCGGCCGAGUCUGCACUUCGAGUGCCACCCUCGCUCCCAGCUCCGGCCUUUGCAUCAGGGCCCCGGCGUGGCACUCGGAUUCCCCACCCACCUCGGGGCCGGCAGAGCCCAGCCCAUCUCUGUCUCUGUCUCUGUCUCUCUCUGUCUCUGUGUCUCUCUGUCUCUCUCUGUCUCUCUGUCUCUCUCUCUCUGUCUCUCUCUCUCUGUGUCUCCGUCUCUCUGUCUCUCUCUCGCUCACUCGUGUGCUCUCCGCCUCGCCCGCUCUGUACCACCUGCUGCCCUGUGAACCCACCGGCUUCUUCCCACCACAGGACACUGGCCUUGGCCGCCCGCCCCGGUCAGAGUCCCUCUCCCCAGCCGUCUCCCACCGGGCGCGGCGGGACCCCGGCAGCUCUCAGCCAAGGCCGUGUGAGCGCAGCCGCAUGACCCUGGCAUCUCCCCCUGUGCAGGCACCCUCCACACCCUAUUCUGUGCCAGAGACCAAGGCCUUGAAGGCACCUGGGGACUGCAGUGUUUGGGCUCCCAGGGGCUCCCAGGGGCUCCCACUGGCUCACGGGGGCUCCUACGACAGCGAAGACUCUGCUUGCGAUACCCAUCUCCCACACCAGAGCACCUGGGUUCAAGGCCCGGCUCCACUUCCAACUCCAGCUUCCUGCUGAUGCCCUGGGAGGCAGCCGUGAUGGCUCAACGGCUUAGGCCCCUGUCACCCACUCGGGACACGCAGGACGGAGUUCCAGGCCCCUGGCUUUGGCCUGGCUCAGCUCUGGCUACUGUAGGCAUUUGGGGAGUGAGCCAGUAGAUGGAAGACUGACUCUCUCUCUCCCUCUCCUCUCCCUCUCCCUCUCUCUCAUAUAUAUAUGAAUAAACAUCUUCCACAACAAAGGCCA